rnacentral:misc_RNA from 1 species
AAGUCGUAACAAGGUUUCCGUAGGUGAACCUGCGGAAGGAUCAGUAGAGAAAACUGGGUUCGACUUUGGUCUGCCCGAUCUACCCCACACACACCUGUGAACCGUUUAUAUUGGAGUCUCAACGGCCCUUGACCGGGCUGGCGGGCUCCUGCUUUACAAAACAUCUGUAACAAGUCUUGAACGUCAUAAGUUAUAUUUUAACAUAAAUAAAACUUUCAACAACGGAUCUCUUGGCUCCC